rnacentral:SRP_RNA from 1 species
UGGACCAGAUCAGCUCUGGAAGGAGCAGCAAGAAGUGGCUACCUAAGUGUUUUGGAGUGGCUGUGUGCAAAUCAACACUCAGGU